rnacentral:rRNA from 1 species
GACGAACGCUGGCGGCGUGCCUAAUACAUGCAAGUCGAACGAACGGAUAAAGAGCUUGCUCUUUUGAAGUUAGUGGCGGACGGGUGAGUAACACGUGGGUAACCUGCCUCACAGCUGGGGAUAACAUCGAGAAAUCGAUGCUAAUACCGAAUGUGCUGAACAUCAUAAGAUGUUCGAGUGAAAGACGGUUUCGGCUGUCACUGUGAGAUGGACCCGCGCUGGAUUAGCUAGUUGGUAAGGUAAUGGCUUACCAAGGCGACGAUCCAUAGCCGACCUGAGAGGGUGAUCGGCCACAUUGGGACUGAGACACGGCCCAAACGUCCUACGGGAGGCAGCAGUAGGGAAUCGUUCGGCAAUGGACGAAAGUCUGACCGAG